rnacentral:rRNA from 1 species
AUGCAGCCGGAGGAUGCGAGGAAGGAGAUCAACAGGUGGGUCGCCAAGGCCACGAAGAAGCUCAUUAUAAUUACCUCCGUCCUACCACGGGGCUCAGUGCACCGCGACACCAGGCUCGUGCUCACCAAUGCCAUCUACUUCAAGGGCAAGUGGGACAACGCCUUCAGCAAGAGCCGCACCAGAGACCACACGUUCCACCGCCUCGACGGCAGCACCGUCCAGGUGCCAUUCAUGGAGGGAAGCAGCCGCGACAAGUACUUCGUGGCCGACCGUGACGGGUUCAAGGUGCUCAAGCUCCCGUACAAGAAGGCGGCCAAGAGCGGCGGCGGUGCGCGGUACUCGAUGUGCAUCUUCCUCCCGACGGCACGAGACGGGCUGCGUAGCCUUGCAGACAAGAUGGCGUCUGGCACGCCAGGGUUCCUGUUCGACAACCUGCCCAAUUGGUCAAGUGAGGUGAAGCUCCGGCUACCCAAGUUCAAGCUGUCCUUCUUCUGCAGCAUGAAGAAAGUUCUCAAGGGCUUGGGGCUCCGGGCGGCGUUCAGCGAGGGGGCCGAUCUGUCUGACAUGGUGGAGGAGGACUCAAGUGGAAACACUGUGCGGCUGCGGGUAGACGAUGUGUUCCACAGGGCGGUUGUGGAAGUGAACGAGGAAGGCACCGAGGCGGCUGCAUCCACCGCCAUGACCUUGGUAUUUUUAUGCGCCUCCGAGCCCGUUGAUUUCGUCGCCGACCAUCCAUUUGCCUUCUAUAUAGUGGAGGAGGUUUCCCGUUCGGUGGUCUUCGCCGGCCACGUCCUCGACCCUUCUGAAACCGAGUAA